CUAAUAUUAUAUAUACUUAAUUUCUACAUAAUGCAUUUUUUUUAGCUAUACGACUAUAUUGGUGUACAUGUAAAUCUAUUUUUUAGAAUUAGUAUAUCUACCAACGUUUAAGUGCAUAGACACUGGCCAAAUUUAAAAAUACAAUAAGUGACCUGCGAGUUCUGUUGAUUUCACACAAAACGCAGCAGUAGAUACGGCCUGCUAAAUGAACAGCAAAAUAAAAUUCAAAUGGAUUUCUGAGGGAUCAUUGAGGGAUAUACAUAUUUAUACUGCGGACAUAAACGGUAUACACCCUAUCAAAGAAGAAAAUCAUACGAUAUUAUUACUCUAUGAUUAAAGGGUUAAGACACACUGAGAUUUUUUUGUGCUUUGUGUGGUCCCUUUGGGGAAGAAUGCAUAAAAUGUAUCUACUUAUUAAAGUGUAAAACGCCUUUAAGUGAUGACGACAUCUGUCGCUCUCUUUGAUGUGACGUCACAGUUGCCCACAGGAAAAUUAAAAUAUAACACACCAGAGUUGCUUAGCAACCCAUGAACAAAUGUAUGAAUGUAUUUUUAUAUGUGCAUAUAUGUGAAAGCGAGUGUAUGCCAAAUGCGCAUUUGUGAAAAUUGCAUAACAAAUACAUAACAUUGCCAAGUACUAUGUACAAAACAAACAACAACAUUAGCAAACGUGUGCUGCGCUGCGAUAGCAACAAGUUAGUGCUAGAGUCGGGAGUAAUCGACUUGAUA